rnacentral:rRNA from 1 species
CUACGGGUGGCUGCAGUGAGGAAUAUUGCACAAUGGGGGGAACCCUGAUGCAGCAACGCCGCGUGGAGGAUGACGCAUUUCGGUGUGUAAACUCCUUUUAUAUGUCAAGAAAAUGACGGUAGCAUAUGAAUAAGCACCGGCUAACUCCGUGCCAGCAGCCGCGGUAAUACGGAGGGUGCGAGCGUUACUCGGAAUCACUGGGCGUAAAGGACGCGUAGGCGGGUUGGAAAGUCAGGUGUGAAAUCCUACAGCUUAACUGUAGAACUGCACUUGAAACUUCUAAUCUAGAGUAUGGGAGGGGGAGAUGGAAUUAGUGGUGUAGGGGUAAAAUCCGUAGAUAUCACUAGGAAUACCUAAAGCGAAGGCGAUCUCCUGGAACAUUACUGACGCUAAGGCGUGAAAGCGUAGGGAGCAAACAGGAUUAGAUACCCGGGUAGUC